rnacentral:lncRNA from 1 species
AGGAGAAUAAUGCGGGUGCGGGAGAUGAUUAGCCGGAGGAAGAAACGGUGCGUGCUUAGUCGCUGUGGGGCCUGGUCGACACGGAUUAGCACUGCCCUGCCCCUGUGUGUGGUGCAUGCAAAGAAGGAAGAUGGGUUGAUGUUCUCAAAAAAAGAAGAAGAAGAUGGGUUGGUUAUUAGCAGUGGAUGCUGCCGGGAUGUAUAUGCAUUGAUUAAUUAAGCGAGGGGCGGUUGGUCCUAGUAUUAGAUUCUUGUGUUUUGGAAUGGAGGCGU